rnacentral:lncRNA from 1 species
UUAAUCAGACAAAUCGACGAACAGAUUCUAAGAUUCAAUGGCUCGAGAAAAUUAUUUAUAUAAGCCGCCGAAGACAAAACCCUACUCUUCUGUUUGGUAACAGAUAUAUCCUUUGAGACGCAAACUACCUGCCGUUUUCUAAAAACAACUACGCACCGUUUUGUCUAAAACAAAGUCGUUUUUUAGACCACCGAGAAUAGUCUCUCAUCUUUGUCGUGUAACCUGAACCUCCACGUAACGAAAGAAUGCUCUGAACCACAAAAACCAGAAACGUGUCAAACUGCUUCUGUAAAUUUAGUCAUAAAGCAAAUAAUUAACCAUGACGCGUCUCUGAUUUUUCAAACAAAAAAAGCCAAAAAUUCGAUUUGAGUUUAUCAUAUCUUCUUCUAUAAAUAAAUUGAAAUAUUUUUAUACACAUACGUUGUCAAAUGCUAACCACACGUUUGCGUUUAGUAACCGAAAGAACCAAACUGAUAAAUACUACUUCUCCUAUGAGAAUAGUUUUUGGUAAAACUUACAUAAUGGGAAUGGUUUUUGGUAAAAUCGCUGUAGAGACUCCUAAAUA